rnacentral:rRNA from 1 species
CGAGAAAGGGUUCUUCGGAACCUGAUUAAAGUGGCGGACGGGUGAGUAACACGUGGGUUACCUGCCCUUGAGUGGGGAAUAACUCCGGGAAACUGGAGCUAAUACCGCAUACGACCCUUCGGGGUGAAAGGCUUCGGUCGCUCGAGGAUGGGCCCGCGGUCGAUUAGCUAGUUGGUAGGGUAAAGGCCUACCAAGGCACCGAUCGAUAGCCGGCCUGAGAGGGCACACGGCCACACUGGCACUGAGACACGGGCCAG